GACUUCGUCUCGUCAGGUCAAUGAAUAGUUCACGGUCAUGAAAGAUAAGAAUGUGCCGAUCUCUGUCAGAACACUUGUUCCAGCGUGCGCCAAGGGGACAGCAAUGGUCGGCUAGAGUAAGCCGUUUCUGUCAUUCAUCGUUGUCCGUCGGGAAAACCAAAAAACGCCGUGAAACUUAAUGGCGAGAUGCAGUGUGUAAAAGCUGCCAUUCUGAUGGACUUCAUCUGGAUGAGCAAAGGGAUUUUCGACAUUGGAAGAAGGAAACAAUCUGACGUGCUCAUUUAUUCGUCGCUCGCAGCUGCAAGUUUUCUGGCGUAUGGAAUAUUUCCUCCCGCACAUGUACCGGUCGAGACAAAUCCCUACAAAGAUUUGACCGUCGCGCACCCUCUGUCGUCAGAAACCGUCGUCUGCUCAACGAACAACACGCACAUUCUUAGCACGUGGAGACAUACGCCAUAUGUGUUUCUUGGGAAGUCGAGUAACCAGACUGCGAUCUUUUUGUCUAACAAUCCUGCAUUGAAUGACGCCUUAGCGAUUUACAUUCGCCGAAUGUCGAGUAACCAGUCAACAUUUUUUCUGUCUCACAAUGAUGCAACGAACGACGUCAUGACGUCAUACUAUGGCGGAAACGUUGACGGUGAAAUAAAAGCCGAGAAGUUUGCAUAUAAUUGUCAUGCAUUUUCAACUGCAGACAACGAUGUUUGUAGGAAUGAUUUUGUGUUAAAACAAACGUACAUACAAGACUCAUAUUUCAGAAUCGAAGACGUUUUCAAUGGAAAACAACAACAUGUUGAACAAUUCGUUAGAUUCUAUCCACAUCAGUUAGGUGACAUUCUCAGUGUAUCUAUUACGCAGAAACGUCGCCUACACGUGAAAGUCGACCCAUACCCGGAAGUGCACAUUUCCGUUCGGAGCACCGCGAACACACGCGCUUUCCACUGGUAUCUGUGAAAUGUAUAUCUACCGCACUUAAACAACAAUGCAAUUUUAUGUUAUUAAAAUAACUAUUUCUUGUACAAAGGUCAUAUUGUAAUUUUUCUUCUAAGAAAUUCGGGUCUUUCGAUACACAUUGAUUUGAAUAAAUCGUGUGAACAAUA